rnacentral:lncRNA from 1 species
ACCACAGAAUGAGGAUUUGGGCGCACAUCACAGUGAAUGCACCAUGAUGCCGUGCUUCGUGCUAGGUUUUGUCCAAAGAUAUUUUAAUCAUUAUCACUCGUCACUCCAAAAUGGUCAGACACAGUUCAGAGCUGUAUUCUUCCUGUGAUUUUUGUUGGUCAACAGAGGGCCAGAGACAGAUCUGUACAUCACUUCAGUCCAACAAACCCUGUUGUGAGAGGCUUCCCUGGCAUUUAAGUGAGAUCCAUCACUGUAACAUGCACCUCCCAAGUGUUAUCACUGAAUUGUUUGCCAGCGUAUGUCUGAAUCAAAGAGAAGGGGCAGAAAGUGUCCUGGCUGAUGUGCAACCUUUUAAUGAUUUUCUUCUGCAAUCACUCACAGAAUGCCAUUUGAGGAGCUGUGAAAGAAUGACUUUUAAAACCCAAGCCAUUCUAUGAUUCUGUGAUUGUAAAACAAGACCUCAGACCUUCAUGAUCAUUUUCUUUACAUCAAAAGCUCAUUCUGAAUCUCAAGUGUAUUAAUUGCUCAAUCUUGUUAAUUCUUCAGUCCAAAAAAAAAAAAAAAAAAAAAAAAAAAAGAAUUAAUCCAAAACAAAAAGAACCCAAAUCUUUGAAAAAUAACCUAACUAGUCAGUGAUCCCAGCUAGUUGGAUUAGUGAUCAGGCUUGAUCACAGGUACUCAAAAUAUUCUCUUCUGUGACUGCUGUGACUAAUGUAUCAGGGCAGAAAUGAGUACUGCCUUGAAUUACUUUCCCACCAAAUUAAAGGCAUUGAGUUGCCAAUAUAUCUCAGGCUUUUCAUUAAAUGCCGCUGAAAUCUGCAUCUUAAAAUCGUGGAGUUUUCUUUUUUUUUUUUUUUUUUUUUCUUGCUCUGAGGUUCAUUUGAAAAGUGAUUUCAGUUGUUUCUGUCAACAUCAAAAACAUUCAGCAAAUUAUACUUACAUCUCGUUUCAAAAAUAGUUUAGUAAGAAUGGAGCUGAGUUUUUUUUCUUCUUUUCUUUUUAUGUCAUUGCUUAUAUUUUGUAAUUGUACAGGACAUUUGUCUAUGAGAUUUGCUAUUUUACUGCCAACACAACUGUUUACUAGGUAUAUGUAUUUGCUUACAGUUUCAACUGUUUGUCAGCACACAUACACUCAAAAGUAUAAGUAUUGUACAAGUAUUUUAUAAUACACAUAUGCACAUAUAUAUUAAAGAAUGCUCA